AUACGUAGGGUGCAAGCGUUAAUCGGAAUUACUGGGCGUAAAGCGUGCGCAGGCGGUUUUGUAAGACAGAGGUGAAAUCCCCGGGCUCAACCUGGGAACUGCCAUUGUGACUGCAAGGCUAGAGUACGGCAGAGGGGGAUGGAAUUCCGCGUGUAGCAGUGAAAUGCGUAGAUAUGCGGAGGAACACCGAUGGCGAAGGCAAUCCCCUGGGCCUGUACUGACGCUCAUGCACGAAAGCGUGGGGAGCAAACAGGAUUAGAUACCCUGGUAGUCCACGCCCUAAACGAUGUCAACUGGUUGUUGGGUCUUCAUUGACUCAGUAACGAAGCUAACGCGUGAAGUUGACCGCCUGGGGAGUACGGCCGCAAGGUUGAAACUCAAAUGAAUUGACGGGG
rnacentral:rRNA from 1 species